ensembl:scaRNA small Cajal body-specific RNA 8
AGGGAGGCGGAUGCCUGGGCGGAGCUGAGCCGUGCGCUGCCCGUCACCAGCCCUCCCAAGAGUGACCCCGCUCUCUGAUGACCGUGCGGACCUGAGAGAAAUCCCCACGGACAGAUACGGAGCAGACACGC